rnacentral:ncRNA from 1 species
UCUUAUCAAGAGUGGUGGAGGGAAAGGCCUGUCGAAACCCAGCAACCUGAUGAAUAAUUAAGGUGCUAAUUCCUUCAAGCGGUCGUUUUUGAGGCUUGAAAGAUAAG